rnacentral:lncRNA from 1 species
GCAAGAGAAGAAUUCCACAGCGUCAAUCCCCUUGUUGAUUCAGUCUGCUUCCUUCAAUUAUUUAACAGGAAACUCUUGGACAAUCAACACAUGCAGACAAACUUCUCUUGUUCAUUUUUCCCCCGGCCCCAGAAUGGACAGAACUAAAGUAUAGGGAGCAGAGGAUUAACAAGUAGGAGACACCAUGCCGACUUUAAAAUUUCUUAUACUUUUGUGGAUAUGUGAUCAUGGUCUCAGUCAAGUUUCCACAGGUAUGCCUAAUUUGGAGCCAGAUUUACCCACUACUCCUUCCCCUCCAGAAGAGAAAUCAGCCCUUACAGUGGCAGCAUUAGGUGUUAUUAGCUUCAUUGUCAUUCUGGUCGUGAUUGUAAUUAUUCUGGUCAGUGUGGUCAGCCUAAGAUUCAAGUGCCGUCGCUGCAAAGAAGUUGAAGAUAAACAGAAACCUCAACAUGCAAUGGUAACUUACAGCUGUUCUGAUGCUGAAGCUACUGCUUGUAAGAAAAAUGUCAUGUUGGUUUCCAUGAAGGACUUAAAUGCAGGCAACAGCAACAGCCAGGGCGUUGCAAAGGCAAUGAUUACACACAUAGAGUAA